rnacentral:tRNA from 3 species
UCCGGAGUAGCUCAGCGGCAGAGCAGGCGACUGUUAAUCGCCGGGUCGCAGGUUCGAUCCCUGCCUCCGGAGCCA